rnacentral:lncRNA from 1 species
AGGAGGCAGCCGACGGGUAAACAAUGGCGGUGGCAGGCGGGGCCGGCGAGAGGCCGUCUCCCCCUCUUACCCCCGACUCUGCUGGGACCUGGGGGUCCCUGGGGCGAGGGGCAGGGUCCCCCUCCCUGCCCAGGAUCUGAGAGCCCUCGAGCCAGCGAGGGGAUUGGCGCCCAGAUGAGGGACAGCGAGGCCACGACCCACAUGAGCGGGGGAUGGGGACGAGGGGUCUUUGGAGGGGAGGCUGGGGCGGCGGGGAACAAAGAGGGGACCGGAGGCCUGGGGAUCCACCCUCCACACACCCUCCCCCCUAACCCCGCUCCCGGCCGGCCGCCAGUCCAGCUGUGGCUGUUCCCAGCUCCCUGGCUCCCCACAUCUGGCGGGCCGCGCGCUCACUUCCUGUCGCCCCGGCUGCCUGGAGGGAGGUAAAAAUAACCCGCCCCCUCCCCCUGCCGGCGGCGCAGACGGCGGAUCCUCCCAGCCUGGAGGAGGGCGAGGCCGAGCCUCAGCCGGGAGAGGAGGCCCCCUGAGGCCGCCUCCCGUCCCUCCCAGUGCCUCGCUGUCCUGGCAGGAGGGGGGCAAGUAGGGGUGCCACAGAGCCUAGGCUGCGCUGGGGGACUGGGGAAGCGCAUCCCAUGAGAAAGGCCCUUAGCUGGGUCACCAGGAACCCAGGGAACCAUAGUGUCCAACCACCCCCACCAAUCCCGUGGGGGAGGGGGUUCAAGUUCUGAGAGUUGAGGGACUGCAGCCAACAUGCCUGGGUUCCAAUCGAGGGUCACCCACUUCCUAACCUAACAGUAUAAACAAGUUACCAAAAAAAAAAAAAAGCCCCCCCCCCGCACACACACGACAAGAGCAAAACUGCUCCAGGCCUCAGUUUACCUAGCUGUAAAAUGGGCAUGAUAGCAGUACUCACUUCAAAGUGCAUUUGUUGGGUUAGGAGUGUCAACUCACUCUAUAAUCCCAAAACUUUGGGAGGCUGUGGCAGGAGGAUCGCUUGAACUUAGGAGUUUGAGACCAGCCUAGGCAACAUAGUGAGACCCCCAUCUCUACGAAAAAGUGAAUAAGUAAAAUGAAAACACAUAAAAAAGAAAAAUAAAGUGCAUUUAUUCCCUGAGUGUUAGCUAUGAUCGUUUCCCCCUCCCCAGGGGCCCCUGAGACCCACCCCCCUCCACCAAGUACAGUUCCCAGAUGAGACACAGGACACCCAGUGAAACUUAAUUUUUCAGAUACACAGCGGAUCUCUUUUUUUAGUAUAAGUAUGUCCCAUGCAAUUUUGGGGACAUCGCUAUACUAAAAAAAAAGUUUUAUACUAAAAAAAAAUUACUUGUUCUGUAUCUGAAAUUCAAAUUUAACUGAUGUCCUGUAUUUUUUAUUUGUUAAAUCUGCCAACUGUAUCCUUAAGUCACCAUCAUCUCUGGCCUAAAUAUAUUCCAACAGCCACCUCCCUGGUCCUCUCCGACUUUCCUUAUGCCUUCUAGCCAUUCUCCAGAGACAGCCCGUUAAAUCCAAUCACGUGUCCCCUCUACCUUCCACUUGGAAAAGUUCCUGGUGUCCCAACCUCUCCCGCAGGAAGGUCCUGCCUGUUAUUCGCCAACUCCCGAGCAUCCUUCAGUUCCCAGGGUAUCACCUCCUCCGAGAAGCCCUCCUCACCUUCUUGGCUUUAGACUGUCCAGGAUCCCUGUAACUCAG